rnacentral:rRNA from 1 species
AUUGAACGCUGGCGGCAGGCCUAACACAUGCAAGUCGAGCGAGCGGCGGACGGGUGAGUAAUGUCUGGGAAACUGCCUGAUGGAGGGGGAUAACUACUGGAAACGGUAGCUAAUACCGCAUACCAUCAGAUGUGCCCAGAUGGGAUUAGAUAGUAGGUGGGGUAACGGCUCACCUAGGCGACGAUCCCUAGCUGGUCUGAGAGGAUGACCAGCCACAUCGGAACUGGGACACGGUCCAGACUCCUAAGGGAGGCAGCAGCGGGGAAUAUUGCGCAAUGGGCGCAAGUCUGAUGCAGCCAUGCCGCGUGUGUGAAGAAGGCCUUCGGGUUGUAAAGCACUGUCAGCGGGGAGGCGUUACCCGCAGAAGAAGCACCGGCUAACUCCGUGCCAGCAGCCGCGGUAAUUC